rnacentral:rRNA from 1 species
UACGUAGGGACCAAGCGUUGUUCGGAUUUACUGGGCGUAAAGGGCGCGUAGGCGGCUUAACAAGUCACUUGUGAAAUCUCCGGGCUUAACUCGGAACGGCCAAGUGAAACUGCAGUGCUAGAAUUCUGGAGAGGCGAGUGGAAUUCCGAGUGUAGAGGUGAAAUUCGUAGAUAUUCGGAAGAACACCAGUGGCGAAGGCGACUCGCUGGACAGACAUUGACGCUGAGGUGCGAAAGCGUGGGGAGCAAACAGG